rnacentral:rRNA from 1 species
GAUGUCGGCGUGCGGGGAGCGAGGAAGGAAGGAGUGGGCGGCGGCGAGGGAGGGAGGAGGAGGAGGAGGAAGACGCGGGAUCCUCGGGGCGGCGGCGGGACGACGAUGAGGAGGUGGCCGGGCGGGACGACGUAGCGCUCGGGGAGGGAGGAGAAGCGCAAGGCCACCAGCUAUCAGCCCCAGUUGCUCCUCUACGUGCGCCGCCGCCGGUACCUGCUGAGGUACUCGCCCUGGUGGCGGCAGCGCCGCGGACGCCGGCCGCCGCGUGAGGUGCCCCGAGCCCUACAGGCGCCGCCGCGCCCGACACCUGACUCUCCGCCCCGGGAACUACGCAAGGCAAGCUCCCCGACCAGCCCGACCGCGCCCUAGACUCGGUGGCAACUACCUAAAGAACGUCGAACCGAGGACAAUUUGUCUCUACCAAGAUUUUUGAGCUCACAGUGACCUAUACGAACCUGCGUAAAAGUUACCAAGACCAUUUGGAUAUCUGUUACCGGGUGGUUAAAAUGGUCUCCGUAUGGACCUAUAAAGACCUUCAAGAUAGUUAGGGUCGCUUGCCUGUAUGGGACUUCUUUACUAAGUCUGACCGUAUAGAUGUUAACUACAGUACUUAAGAUAGCGAGCACCAGUCUUCUAGGGAGACAAGAGGCGACGUCCAGACGGUGUGUUACUUUAACGACGAGUCUAAACGGCAGUCCGAGCCGAUCAUUUCGCAUUUCUCUUCUGACUAUUAUAGAACCUCUUACGGCUCCUCCUGUUAAAACGAUAACAGAAACGUCGAUACCCUCAUUUGUACCUUUGUUGUGUUAAAAAGUUCGCACUAAAGCUCCUCUUACCAAGUUACCUCUCUCAAUGGAAUAAAGAAUUAGACCGUUUACUAGGAUGGUAGCUCGCAUAAUAAUGAGGUUCUUAACGAGAGUGGUGUCGCCUUAUGAACCGUAUACUCACACCCUUCGUACAAGAACAGUAGGACUGACUGUACUCAAGUAUACGUCUACGUGAAGCACUUCUUACGGUAUAGGACUUUUCCUUCUUCAGGUACGGGAAGAUUCCGUCCUGGGUUUAAAGACCUUUUAUCCGGGAAUAGACUUCACUACUAAGCUCGUCGUAGUCUACUACACGCGAAGGAAGAGUUAUAUGUUCUCUUUUACUACCUCUUCAACUCGUUUCAUAGAAGUACCGCAGACCGUCAUGUUUCACUCGAUAUGACAUCCACAAAAACGUAUUUACUGUUGGUUGUACUUCUAACCGGCGGAGAACGUUGACAGGGACCAGUCAAACAAAUGUGGGAAAGGCAAGUUUAGAUCCUUCCAAAGACAUACCGGUUUAGACAAAAUGAAAAACAAGAGGUCUAUAUUUAGUAUUUAAACAUUGGAUUACUAACCCCAAACGAAGUACCAAGUCGUAACAUCGGAACAUCCACGUCUUAGCAGUAUAUUCUUGAUUAUACUUUACUGUUACCCAGAUAAACGAAAAGUCAGAAAUUAAGUAAAAUACUUCAAAACUAUAUAAGUUGAAUAUCUUGUUUUAGUUAAUUUGUAACAACUGUCUACUGUAACUUCGACUUCGAACACAAGGACUCCAUCUAUAGGAAAGCGAGAACCAACACGGAGGACCUUUUUACCCUACAUAAUAACCAUCUUUUCCUAGUAGUUAUUAAUAACACUUUCUUAGAACGUUCAUUAGUAGAAGGGACCAAACAAAAGUGAGGAUACACGUCCAACUUUAGGUAUAGCCACCACGUUUCCCUGGAGGUCCAUCCCAUCCAAAAAGUAUCGACUGUAUAAAUAAUGAAACGUCAACAGCAGGCGCCUUAAAUAGGUCAGGUACAAACUUAACCAAUUAUCUUUGUCGAUAUCAAAACAUCGUUAUACCGAACAUCAUGGUUUUGACAAGAAGACACGGCUACGAGAACAAAGGGAAGGACAGGUCCAACAAACUGCAGACACAGUAAUGAGUCGUUCAAAUCUACACGAGAGUCGGAGAUUAACAGGGCGAACUAACGAAGAACGACGUACAAGAACAAACGCAUACAAUGGGACGACUAAACGAAAGACGAACGACGAACCCCUUUGUACACACAGGGGACGAAAGCCACGUGGCGUCAUGUACAAACCCAAUCACGAAACCCCCUUUACACACGUCGUUCAUCAUCAACAUGGACGAGUAAUACUUAUAUGUGUUUCUUCCUUCAAACCACCCCUCUCCAAAUACUUCCGGAUGACCUUAAUUAAUAAAGUAUUGUGGAUGGCGAAGUUUUACACUACACACAUCAAUUUGACUCAACUGCCCUAAUAGAAACCUUUUUGUAAUCGGAUUAGGUCUAAAAUCAAAUUAUCAAAUUUACACUCAUAUGUGUGAAAGGAACCAGACAUAAUUGUUCUUAUGAUAUUUAUGCAUAUCUCAUGUUGAGUGUUAUUUCAUCAACAGCAAAGUCAAAAGUGACGAUUAUCUAUGGAGAAGUACCGAGGAGAAACGUAAUAAAAAUAUGGUCAUCUAAGAGAAUUGACAGGACCUUAGAAACCAUGUACUGAACACCUAUCAACAAGGGUUACACUCUGAGUAAGGACGCCGGAAGAGCCACUACACCAAGGCACUCAAACAAAGUGAUGGUUAUAGAUUAAAGAGUAGACUAAAACUGUGGAACGAGAAGACGUCAAAACAAAGUGAAAAGUUCCUACUCAUAGAAAUGAAACUUUUACUCGACCAGUAUAAAGAUAACCUUUACUCCACUACAACGAAUUCUAGUGCCUUCGAACCCAACUACCUCACGAACAUAAAUCAAAAACAAAACUGGAACACUUUGAACGAUGGAUACCUACUUUGACACAUUAUAACUACUUUGAUACAUAUACAUGCCUACUUUGAACGAUGAUAACCAUUGUGCACAACCUAUAUAUACACAAGUACUGAUAACCAUUAUACACAACUUAUACG